GCGCGAGUGGCGGAAUGGCAGACGCGCUGGCUUCAGGUGCCAGUCCCCGUUUAGGGGGUGGAGGUUCAACUCCUCUCUCGCGCA
rnacentral:tRNA from 1 species